rnacentral:rRNA from 1 species
UGCCUACGGGGGGCUGCAGUGGGGAAUCUUGCGCAAUGGGCGAAAGCCUGACGCAGCCAUGCCGCGUGGAUGAUGAAGGUCUUAGGAUUGUAAAAUCCUUUCACCGGGGACGAUAAUGACGGUACCCGGAGAAGAAGCCCCGGCUAACUUCGUGCCAGCAGCCGCGGUAAUACGAAGGGGGCUAGCGUUGCUCGGAUUUACUGGGCGUAAAGGGCGCGUAGGCGGACAGUUAAGUUAGGGGUGAAAUCCCGGGGCUCAACCGCGGAACUGCCUUUAAAACUGGCUGUCUUGAGUACGGGAGAGGUGUGUGGAACUCCGAGUGUAGAGGUGAAAUUCGUAGAUAUUCGGAAGAACACCAGUGGCGAAGGCGACACACUGGCCCGUUACUGACGCUGAGGCGCGAAAGCGUGGGGAGCAAACAGGAUUAGAUACCCUUGUAGUCC